AUUGAAUUCUAGUAUUUUGGGUCAGUCCCUCUGGACAGUGGUUCUCUUCAGUGCUCCCUGGGGGCUGGAACUCUGUAGACAAACAUUAACUUUGGGGUAGACACUCUAUAUUUAUGUUCUACUCCUUCCAUUUUUACUGCAUCUACCAUUUGAUCAACAUGAAAUCAUCUCUGACUCUGCUGUGUCUGGUGGUAUGGAUGAAUGUGGAUGCUUCAUCAGCUCAGACUGUGUGCAGUGGACCUCUUCCAAAUGUGCCCAAUGCCAGGGUCACUGAGGAAAGCAUAAAAAAUGAGUACAAAGAGGACGACAUUGUCCUUUUUUCCUGCAACUUUGGCUUUGUGCCAGCAGGCAGAAUAAGUUAUCAGUGUAAGAAGAAUAAGUGGGUGGUGGUCCGUCAGGGGAAAUGCAAGCCUAAACCAUGUGAGCUCCCUGAUGAAACUGCCAAUGGCCACUACAGCAUCCACGUUGGAGAUGACUUUGUCUUUGGAGCCACUAUCAAAUACACUUGCAAUGACGGUUAUCAGAUUGUGAGCAAAAUGGACAACAGAACCUGUAUGGUGGCAGGAUGGAGCAACCACCUGCCCAUAUGUGAAGUGGUGAGUUGUGUCCCCGAGGCUACAGAUGGACGGGUGGUUGUGAGCGGUCUGCCAGAUGAUGAUGGUGUUAUACAGUACGGUCAUGAGCUCAAGUUCAGCUGCCCCAACCCAGCACACCAGCUGAAGGGAAACCCACAGGUAGUGUGUGCCGCAGGGGGGAUGUGGAACAACCAUUUCCCAACCUGUGAAGAUGUGACUUGUGAAGCUGCAGAGAAGAUUAAGAACGUGAACGUGAUAGGAAUUCCCCAAAACAACACCAUGAAGGUUGGACACAGGCUACAGUUUGAGUGCAGCAACUCUAAACACGUUCUGAAGGGGAAAUCAGAGGUCACCUGCUCAGCCAAUGGACAGUGGAGUCACUCCAUUCCAAUUUGUUAUGAGCCCAAGGAUUUCUGUGGACCACCUCCACAGGUCAAUAACGGAGACAGAGACAGAACCAGAGAACGCUACAGAAAUGGAGAAUCAGUUCAAUAUGUCUGCCAGAAAUUCUACAUCCUUGAUCCCCCUUCAGCGUACAAGACGUGUCGUGACGGGAUCUGGACACGACCGAUAACCUGUCUGAGUAAGUUCUCUCUAAAAUAACAUUGGCCCAGUUCCUACCCAAUCGGAUGCUAACUCCCCCUUAACGAUCGAACCCUGCACUGUGGAUGAAGAGCUGAUGAACACACAGAACAUCCAAUUUAAAUAUCCUCCGGAAGAUCAAAAAGUCUAUGCCACACAUGGGGAUCAUACCACUUUUAAGUGUACUGGUCAUCUUAGACUUAGUCCAGGUAGUGUUGGUUUUCAUCAGCAGUGUAUAAAUGGGGUCAUGAACUUGCCUCAUUGCCAAUAGUGGCUUCGUCUUACGCGAAGAGAUGGCCACUUGCUUGUUGGGCAAACAUGUCAAUGAAUAACCCCUGUCAAUAGUUUGCUCAAAUUAUUUUCAGAUUCAUUGUCUGAAUAAAUGUAUGGUAUUUCAUGAUUGUCCAACAUGAAAUAAAGUGCUGCUGGUUCAAAUGUA